AUUCUUUGGGCCUGAAUUGAGGGUGGACAGAAGAGCUAGAGGCAGCCUUGGAUUCUCUGUGAAACGAAAAAGUCCUAAGCCUGCCAGUUCUAACUGAAAAUCACAUCCAGGCCCUGGCCACGGCUCACUGGCUCAUUGUCUCAGGUUUCCUUCCCUGUGGCCUGGACUCCGAGCUGGGGAUGUGCCUGUGGAGUCUGUGCUGGGGAGAAAGACGGAGGAGGGGGUGAGGAUGAGGCCUGGAGCUGCCUGAGUGCAUCGAAGGGUCAUGGCUUCCGGAGCGGGGCGACCCUGGGCAGGCCCCCCCGACCCCACCGGCCGGGAGCAACACUCACGGCACUGGGGGAACAGAUGCUCCCUCCAGGACCUACAGUUUGAGGUCCCGGCAGACAUCCACUGUCACCACCUGGUCUGGCAUCUUUAGCUUGGAUCUAGUCACCCUCCUUCUCCCCUGGCCUCGCUGGCAGCCAGAGUGGCCCCACCGGCAGUCUGCACAGCUCACUCUGGAGGCUGAAGGCCUGGUGCUCCGUGGCCUGGCCAGUCUCCCACCCCUACGCGCUGCUCUCUGCCUUGUCCAGCCAGGCUCGCCGCGGUCCUCAUGCUUGUGCACCAGGCGAGACCCGGCGCCCGGCGUCUGCACGUGGGAGGCAGUUGCCCCAGACGCCCGAUGGCUGCUUCUCUUACCUCCUUCAGUUCUGGUGACUGAAAAGGGACCCAAAGGAGCUACUGACAACUCCCAAGACCCCCCCCAAGAAACACAGAAGAGCCCUGCGGACCCCGUUUGAGGUCUCCUGUCCUUAUGCAGCCCGGGGGGUGCCAGGCAGUUCUUCUCAAAUUAGACUCUGCUCGUUUUGCAUUGAGGCCCCCGAUUUUUUUAGUUUUUGAAUUAAGGAUUAGUGUGUGACCUUGGAAAGGAUACCAAGGGUAGUUUGUGCUGCGAGAGGGCACUUGUCCUCUGGGAUGCUGUGGCUGCUGAGUCAGCUGCAAUCUUAAAGGCAACUGACAGUGUUUGCAGUAAGCGUUUAUUUCUGCAGGAGCAAGAAGUCUGACUUUCAGAAUCCACAGGUGUUUGUGUUUCUAUCUUCUUCAUUUUUUUUUUUUUUUUUUGCAUGCUUAGUUUGGGGGAAUCAUUGGCUAAGUUGAUCAAGGGUAUCUCAGAGCCAAAGCUAUAACUUUAUUGGUGGGUGCGGCUCAGGCAGUAAAAGCUAUUGGAGCACCUACCAAUAAGACUUGCUGGGUGUGGUGGCGCCCAGCACCUGUAAUCCCAGUACUUUGGGAGGCUGAGGCAGAUGGAUCACCUGAGGUCAGAAGUUUGAGACCAGCCUGGCCAACAUGGUGAAAACCCAUCUCUACUAAAAAGACAAAAAUAAGCUGGGCGUGGUGGUGCACGUCUGUAGUCCUAGCUACUCAGGAGGCUGAGGCAGGAGAAUCGCUUGAACUCAGGAGCCAGAGGUUACAGUGAGCCGAGAUGGUGCCACUGCACUCUAGCCUGGCGACAGAGCGAGACUCCAUCUCAAACACACAAAAAAGAAUAAGGCUCCUGAGAAAGGAUAAGCUGGUCAUGGAAUAAGCUAGUUGAUGUUAGGUCACCAACCAGCUGCAAGGAAAUGUUCACGCAACGAAGUACACCGUGAAAGGACUGUAUGAGCCAGAAACGGGAUUCCUAACGUCUGGCCAUGCCCGCCGUUCCGUGUAUAAGAAUAUGGCCCCAGAAGCUGCGAAUAUUUACGAAAUGGCAAAAGAUCUUCUAGAAU
rnacentral:lncRNA from 13 species